UAAUUUUUCUAGCCAGUUAGUAUUCUUUUAAUUCCUUUUUAUAUCAACAAUCAUUUUACAAUUUCCUCUUUUCACUACCUAUCUCAACACAGGCUUUAAAUAUUUUAAUGUAGAUAUAUAUCAAAUAGCUGAAGGCCAGGUUUUAAUGAUAACCUUUGGAAAAGCUGAACUUUCCUUAUCCACAUUUGGCACAGACGGAAAUUUAAUACAUAGAGACCACCUCAAUAGAUGAGAAAGGAGGGAAGUAAUUCAGAAAGUCCUUUCUAAAAAGAUGCAUAUCAUCAUUACAGAAUUUAACAAUAUUUUGUAUAAAACUUGAAGCAAUAGAAAACAAAGAUCACCUGAUUAGUUUUCAGAGCAAUCCCUUACUCUGUCUGGAGAUGCACUGAGUAUUAACUACACUUUUUCCUCUUAAAAGCAGCAUAUUUUGAAGCCCUCAAAGUG
rnacentral:lncRNA from 1 species